CCCUUAGAUGUUCUGGGCCGCACGCGUGCUACACUGAGUAAAUCAAUGGGUAAGGGAACACGAAAGUGCAACCUAAUCUUGAAAUUUGCUCGUGAUGGGGAUCGACGGUUGCAAUUUUCCGUCGUGAACGAGGAAUACCUUGUAGGCGCGUGUCAUCAUCACGCGCCGAAUACGUCCCUGCCCUUUGUACACACCGCCCGUCGCUCCUACCGAUUGGGUGAUCCGGUGAGGCUCUGGGACCUGGACGGAAAGAGCGUUUCGCUUGUUCUGUUUGGGAAACUUGGUCGAACCUUAUCAUUUAGAGGAAGGAGAAGUCGUAACA
rnacentral:rRNA from 1 species